GCGGGGGUGCCCGAGCCAGGUUAAAGGGGGCGGACCCCUAGGGGCCUAGACUCAAGAUCCGCUGGCGUUGGCCUGCCCGGGUUCGAAUCCCGGCCCCCGCA
rnacentral:tRNA from 1 species